AAUUCGAGGACGAAUUCAGUGUAACGGGGUAGACUUGUAACGACCGCAUCCCGCGUUCAUAAAGAGGCAGGUUUGUUUUAGGAGAAAACUAGAUCAUGGUCGAGGAAUGGAACAAAAUACUAAGUAGGAAGAACGAGAAAGUAUAAGCUAAACCAGCUAGGUGAGCUGGACAAGCUGUAUGAACUAGCUAGGUAAGCUAUGUGAGCUAAACCAGCUGGAAGACUAGCUAGCUCUGCUAGGUGAGCUGACCGACAGCUCAACUGAGCUCGGUGAGCUGAUCAAGUACUGACCCAGCUGGGUGGUCCGGUCAGCUGACACUCGAGCUGGUGGACUGUGGUAGCUCACGGGUGAAGAGGUGUCUCGGCCAAAAGGUGUAAGGUCGAGCGGGUACCAACGAACGGUUGCAUCGCCCAAAAGAUGCAAGGAACAUAUGUGACCUUUCGAAAGGAUGCAAGGAACGGAUGUGACCUUUCGGAGGGGUGCAAGGAACGGAUGUGAUGCUUCGGGAAGCAUCCAUUCGCCCCCUAUAUAAGGGAGGACGCCCAAGGCAUCUCACAUCAUCUCACAACAUCCAAAACACCAUAAAACAUUCUUAAAGGAGUCCCAACACAUCCUAGAGUUGUUGGUCGGAAAGGGGGUGCGGCUCGGCGAGUAUAACUCGACCGAACUGAUGCGCAUGCUACCUCCCGGUCCAACGGUUCGAUGGAGUGUAGAGGAUGGAGAGGGUAGACCGUUCGUCUUAGAGACGAAUCGGAUCCGAUAGACCGAUCGUUGGAUCGGAUCGGCCAGACCGAUCAUCAGACGGAUCGGAUCGGCCAGACGGAUCGGACAGACCGAUCGUCGGACGGGUCGGAUGGGACAGGCCGAUCGUCUGACGGAACGGGUCGGACAGACCGAUCGUCGGAUGGGAUGGAUCUAAUUGACGUAUUGGCCAAUCGAGACCAACAUGAACAUUGAGAACAGUUCGUAUUGUCGCCGGCUUGACCAUCGGACUGAACGUCUCUGUGAAAUCAACACCGGCUUCCUGUGAUUUUCCAUUAGCAACUAAUCUUGCUUUGUGACGAGUUAUGCUGCCAUCUGCAUCAUAUUUAUGUUUAAACAGCCACAUAGAUCUUACAAUAUUGACCUUAGG
rnacentral:sRNA from 1 species